AUUACUUUGGCAGAAUAGUGCAUUGAAUUUAGACUUCAAACAUGUAAAUUAUUUUACAAGUAAUA
rnacentral:tRNA from 1 species